AUGUAUUCUGAAACCCAAGCUGCCUGCAGAGUGGGUGUGGGACCCGCUGGCCCAGGGGCCGGGGAGCCUCUCCCCUACCUGAGGGUACGGCCAGAGCUGUGGAGGUGGGUGCGCUGGGAGAGCGGAAGGGGUAAGCCAUCCUUGAGCCAGCUCACACGGAUGGGUGCGGAGCCCCGGACGGGGCACGCCAUGGUCACCAGCUCCCCGGGCCUGCUCACCAGGGUCCCUGAGCUCUCUGCCCACUGCUCGAUGGUGGGAGGAACUGGGGGUGGGCAGAGAGAUAAAGGGGCUGGUGAGAGGGUUGAGGGAGGGGGUUUGGGCGGGGGAGAUGGGCUCCUCUCAGGUAGAUUCCAGGAAACAGCAGGAGCCACAUCCACACCAGGUGCGGAUGAAGCCCACCAUGUGGGGGCACCCCUCACCCGAAGGCUCUAUUUGCAUCUCCCCCAUUCCCCAGCUCUCCCAUCACACCCCCAGGCUGCAGUGCUUGUGUCUCUAGUCCCAGAACGGGUUGCAGAGGCCCAGGGAGGUCAGAUGGUGGCCCAGCUCACGGUGUGGGCACGGCCGGGGCUUGAACCAAGUCUCCCGCAUCCUGGCCCCGGUAUCACCCUCCAGUGGAGGCCCCACGACGGGCCAGGCUGCCGCAGCCCCGGGAUAGCAGAGCUCCCGCCUGGCCUCAGCCCUCAGCCGCUCACCCAGCACGCUCACUGUGUGCAGCCUGGCGUCCUCCCCGGCCGCGUUGUGGGCCACGCAGGUGUAGGCGCCCGAGUCCUGAGCCUUCAGGCCCUUCAGCACCAGGGCGCUGCCAUCCAGGUAGAACCUGCACGGGGACGGAGAGCCAGGAGCCGGCACGUGAGGGUCUGGGGUGCUGCCUGGGGGCCUCGGGGCAUAGGCCAGGCCUUACCGGAGGUGGGGGCCCACGCCCUGGUCCAGCAGGCCACCGUCCUUCAGCCAGGUCACGUCCGGCGGUGGCUGCCCGUCUGCCUCGCAGUCCAGCCGCACCUCCUGCCCCUCCAGGACACUGUGCUCCUGUGUGGCGCCCAAGCUCCGGAUCCGGGGGGCCACUGUGGCAGGGGCUGUGGUGAGGCCCAGGGCAAUGGCAUGGGGUGCCAAGGGGGUGAGACACUGCGGGUGGAGGGGGCAGACAUACCCAGCACAGCCACCACGAAGUCCUUGCGGGCCUCGGCCUGGGUGUUCUCGGCCACGCACGUGUAG
rnacentral:lncRNA from 1 species